GAAAUGCGAUAAGUAAUGUGAAUUGCAGAAUUCAGUGAAUCAUCGAAUCUUUGAACGCACAUUGCGCCCGCCAGCACUCUGGCGGGCAUGCCUGUUCGAGCGUCAUUUCAACCCUCAGAACCCCUUGCGGGAUCUGGCGUUGGGGAUUGGCAUCCAGCCAGCCCCGAAAUCUAGUGGCGGUCCCUCCGCGACCUCCCCUGUGCAGUAGCGAUACCUCGCAGCGGGACAGCGGUCUGACCACGCCGUAAAACCCCCAACUUCUCAAGGUUGACCUCGAAUCAGGUAGGAAUACCCACUGAACUUAAAC
rnacentral:misc_RNA from 1 species